ACGGCUCAGUAACACGUCGAUAACCUGCCCUUAGGCGCGGGACACCCUCGGGAAACUGAGGUUAAACCCGCAUAGGGAAGCGAUUCUGGAAUGAGCGCUUCUAUAAACGCAAGGCCUAAGGAUGGGACGGCGGUGGAUUAGGUUGUUGGUGAGGUAACGGCUCACCAAGCCUAUGAUCCGUACGGGCCUUGAGAGAGGGAGCCCGGAGAGGGACACUGAGAUACUGGUCCCAGCCCUACGGGGUGCAGCAGGCGCGAAACCUUUACAAUGCACGCAAGUGUGAUAAGGGGAUCCUGAGUGCUCAUGCAUUGCAUGGGCUUUUGUCAAGAGUAAAUAUCUUGAUGAAUAAGUGGUGGGCAAUACCUGUGCCAGCCGCCGCGGUAACCCAGGAGCCACAAGUGGCAACCGCUUUUAUUGGGCCUAAAGCGUCCGUAGCCGGUCGUGUAAAUCUUCUGUGAAAUCGUCCAGCUUAACUGGACGGCGGGCAGGAGACACUGCAUGACUAGGGACCGGGAGGAGUGAGAGGUAUUUUGGGGGGAGCGGUAAAAUGCUAUAAUCCCCAAAGGACCACCUGUGGCGAAGGCGUCUCACUAGAACGGAUCCGACGGUGAGGGACGAAAGCUAGGGGAGCAAUCCGGAUUAGAUACCCGAGUAGUCCUAGCCGUAAACGCUGCGAACUAGGUGUUGCACAAUCUUCGGGAUUGUGCAGUGUCGGAGCGAAGGUGUUAAGUUCGCCGCCUGGGAAGUAUGGUCGCAAGGCUGAAACUUAAAGGAAUUGGCGGGGGAGCAC
rnacentral:rRNA from 1 species